rnacentral:rRNA from 1 species
GACGAACGCUGGCGGCGUGCUUAACACAUGCAAGUCGAACGGAAAGGCCCUGCUUUUGUGGGGUGCUCGAGUGGCGAACGGGUGAGUAACCCGUGAGUAACCUGCCCUUGACUUUGGGAUAACUUCAGGAAACUGUGGCUAAUACCGGAUAGGAGCCCCUGCUGCAUGGUGGGGGUUGGAAAGUUUCGGCGGUUGGGGAUGGACUCGCGGCUUAUCAGCUUGUUGGUGGGGUAGUGGCUUACCAAGGCUUUGACGGGUAGCCGGCCUGAGAGGGUGGCCGGCCACAUUGGGACUGAGAUACGGCCCAGACUCCUACGGGAGGCAGCAGUGGGGAAUAUUGCACAAUGGGCGGAAGCCUGAUGCAGCAACGCCGCGUGCGGGAUGACGGCCUUCGGGUUGUAAACCGCUUUCGCCUGUGACGAAGCGUGAGUGACGGUAAUGGGUAAAGAAGCACCGGCUAACUACGUG